CAUUAAGUGACUGAAAGUAAGUAAUGGUCUCUUAAACCAAACUAUGGUAAUUAACACAUACCCUUAAUGG
rnacentral:tRNA from 1 species